rnacentral:lncRNA from 1 species
AUUGUUGUCCUUUAAUGCUCAUAACUGCUUUUGAGGCCAUUUCCAAUCCAGCGGAAGACCUUCUAGAAGAGAUGAUGGUGGGAGAGUGCUGACAUACUAUGUGAAGCUACUAUUUGGAGUUGGACACGAGUGCAUGUGUCCUUGUGCCACAACGGGAAUGUGAGCUGGAUGACAAAUGGAGAUUUGGACUUGUGAUAAUUGGCCUCUGUGUCAUUGUGUGGAAGACUGACUGGUCCCUUUAUUUCCUGUAGCUUGACUACAACACAAAUGAAUCCACUCA